rnacentral:lncRNA from 1 species
GGAAGCUUCAUCUUUUUGCAGCUCUCUGCUUUGAUUUAUUUAUUCCUUUAGUAAACAUACGACUUUGUACAGGCACAGAGCAAGGUGCUGAGGGAAAUGUUGUCAAGGCUUCUCUUCAGAGGAAACAGCUGGCUUGGAUUAAAAGAACUGGAUUUUUAAAGGAACUCAAUAGAAAUAUUUCUAAACACUUCCCAGACUCAGGUAAGAGAGGAGAGAAGAAUAUGUUUCAGUGUGCUCUUUUAUUUCUUCCCCUUUUGAUUUCCUGGAAGAAACAGGAUAGGAACUUUUCUUUUUAACUCGGGUUCCUUUAGCUAUUGAAUUAUAGGUUUUUAGUUGAGUAACAUGACAGAUUUACAAGACCCCUCGAAUGACAAAGCUACCCUUCUCUUAUCCAACCUGUCUGAAAUCAUG